UACGGAGGGUGCAAGCGUUAAUCGGAAUUACUGGGCGUAAAGCGCACGCAGGCGGUCUGUCAAGUCGGAUGUGAAAUCCCCGGGCUCAACCUGGGAACUGCAUUCGAAACUGGCAGGCUAGAGUCUUGUAGAGGGGGGUAGAAUUCCAGGUGUAGCGGUGAAAUGCGUAGAGAUCUGGAGGAAUACCGGUGGCGAAGGCGGCCCCCUGGACAAAGACUGACGCUCAGGUGCGAAAGCGUGGGGAGCAAACAGGAUUAGAUACCCUGGUAGUCCACGUCGUAAACGAUGUCGAUUUGGAGGGGGUGCCCUUGAGGCGUGGCUUCCGGAGCUAACGCGUUAAAUCGACCGCCUGGGGAGUACGGCCGCAAGGUUAAA
rnacentral:rRNA from 1 species